UUCCAGUACCAGAUGGGACAUCUAACGACACCUCACCGGAGUUGAGCAGACGAUGAGUUUUGCUUUGCUUGAUUUAGCCUUGUGUUGGCUGUUGACAUCUGUCUUUAAUGUAUCUAGAACAUGGCCAUUAACGUGAGGCUGCGGGGGCCGAUCAUUAUGCCCUUCAAGUAGCCGCACUAUUUUGGCUGGCGUUAAUUUUGUUGUCAAAGAUACAGCUGUUGUAGGAAAUAUUUUGAAUUUCUGGUUACAGCUGGUUUGCUGAAUGAAGUGGUGCUCUGAGCACUGGCAUCAGUCCAUUUUCUAAAUGGGUAAUCCUGGUGCUCUGCAAAGAAGUCUGCCAAAGGAGGAGCUGGAGAUGGCAACACACCAUUACCUCUACCCAACUCCGCAACAGCAAACCACAGUGUCUUCUGCCUCCUAUGGACCUGCAGCUGCAUCCCAUGAUCAUCAUCACCAAAUAUCUUCUACAGAUGACCACUAAACAGACAUCUGUUCCCUUCAACCGCUAUUCAGUGAGUCAGCACAAGCUCAAACACUUGGUUAUUGUGCAUGUGACUUAUUUUGCCUUGAAGAUUAGGAAUUUCUUUGGCAAUGAUUAUUUCCACUCUCUCAAAAUUAGAACGCAGCAGGAUUAAGACACCUGGACCCUUCACCAGAAGCUACAACUAGGCAGGGUACUGAAAUAUUAGUACACAAGAAGAACACAGAAAAUGUGAUAAAAAUAAUCAAAGGUGUUUGCCAGCAAUCCUUCUAAAUGGGAAGUGGUGGAAGGGAGUAUUUUGAUAAGAAGAUCGGAGCAUGAUAGGGAAUCAGAAUCUAAAAUUAAUCACCUCGAUUGAGAAGCCCUUGGCACAGAAAGGCAUCUCUCACCUUCCUCUUAUCCUUCUGCUCCAAAGCAGUGAAUAAAAGCAUCCUUCGACUUUUCUCUAAAGUUGAGAUACGUGUGUGAGAGAUGCCCUCCCUACAUUCCAUGGAAAGCAUACAUCUCUCUGAAGACAGGGAUGCUGAAGAGGAUCUGGGAGCCUUAAGUGAUACCCUCAGGGUAUGCAGACUAGAGGGAGUCAUUUUCCAGAAACAAAGCAACAUGAAGGCUUUGCUCAUCUAAGACCUGGCUGCAUGCAUGUGUGUACAUUAAACUUCAGAGCUGAGUUAUAUAAACACCAAUGUUAUACAUUCGGGGACUGUGCUGCUGUAACUCAAUGAAGUUCCUCUAAUGAUGUCAGAAUAAAGCAGAUCAGUCUUCCUGGGAUCCCUAAGUCAUGAUUCGUAAGCAGUUACCUAGUGGGCUAUGGGAAGCCACUGAGACCUUUGUGCAAACCUCUGUCCUAUAUGAGGAAUGUAACCUUGAGCAAGUGAAUCUAUGAAAGGAAAAAGGAAUGUUCUAGAGGACCAGAAAAGCUAUAGCAUUUUUCUCCCAGGUACAGAAGAAUUAACUGCUCCUGCCAUAGCAUAAUUUAAUGGAAACUAUAAACUGUAGAACCUUCUGGGGCUUCAAAUAGAACUGUCCCCACCCUACCUUCUUUCUCAACUUGUUACGAUAGACCCUUAAAUUCUACCCAUGAAGUUGCCUGAACUUCAAAUGAAGAUUCAAAUCCAGAUUUUUAAGUGUGUAAGUAAUUAUAGAGACAACACAUUCAAUUACUGUACUGUGAGUGGAACAGGAGCCCAACAUAGAUUUGGAAUAUGGAAUAUGCACAGACAAAAUGAUGAAAUGAUGUGGUCCAGGAUAUAUCACCAUUUCCUGGCCUGAAGUAUUUCUCCUGCCCAUCACUUUGAGUCAAUAUGAAAUGAAAGGGCCAUAGAUCCCCGGAGUGAUCAGAGACCCUGGAGAACAAAGGCAGCUGUGUGCACCAUGGACAUGCAAGGAUGAAGAGGAGACGCAACAGUGUCUGUCCCAUAAAACCACACAUUUGAAUUUCUGCUGUCCACCAAAUCACUUGUCUGCUUACUGCCAGAAAUAUAAGAGGCACUGCCAGAUAGUCCACACAGAAGAGCUUUGUAACAGUAUCUCAGGAUGCCUCAGACAGGGCCCUGGGGCAGGAAAAAUAAAUAAAGAAUUCAAAGUGCAGUUGGUCCCAUGGAGAAACACCAGCUCAGCAGGGACAAGAGACAAGAAACAGACCCCAGGCUCAAAGGGACCAGUGAGUAUGUAGACUGCUCCCCAAAACGAGCUUCAUAGAUAAAAAUUCCAGCAAAAUACAAAUAUGCAUACCUUUGACCAAAGCCUUGAUUUGUUUCUGGACUCUGCUUCUCAGUGACUGACAGUGCAAUGUGCCUGGUUCAGACUUCUUUUUGAGACCUCCUGGGCGUUAUGGCUACUGGUACCAUGGGUUACAAUUCAGGCUAGGCAAGAAAUAGUUUUUCUAAGAGAUGGUGAUUUUUAUUGAUGAGCCCUUAGAUGUAUUUUACCCAAAUCCUUCACAAAUUAAUCCAGUAGGAAAAGCAAGCAACAUAGAUUUAAACAACAACAACAACAAAAACUGGUCUCUCUUUUAACUAGAUGAAGUUUAUCGGAUUUAAGAAAGACAUUAUGAGUUUGAUGAUAAUGAGUGGUCUCCUACAUUUCAUUAUAAAAUUUAAAAACUGUGUAGGUGGCACAUUAAUUGCAAAGAUAAUUUUAAAAGCUUGAAAUUAUACCACACCUUUUAGUUUAAUGCAUUUCCUUCUAGAAUUUUCUCAUUGAAUUUGAGGGUGUGGUUGGUGGUCCAAUUUUAGUUCAUGCAUUUUCAUUUUCAAUCAUUUUGAUUUGAACAUAGAAAAAUUUCCAAUGUUGAACCAAUGGUGGAAAUUUGAUCACAAUAGUUGAUAGUUUUUAAUGUUUGGGAUGUAAGAAUUCUAUUGAAGCUCUUUUUCAGAAAAAAAAAAUGAAUGCUAAUAAUUGAACUGCUAAGAUUCCUUGGAUUUGUUUAACAUUAUACAGAGCAAGAUGAAAGGAUAUAGUCUUUCAGCUAAUGAUGAUUGAAGGAGCAAAGAUGAAGUUGAUUUGUAGCUACCAUUUAUUUAAAUUUUUAAAAUUUUUCCUGCAGAGGCCAGGAGAUGGCUAGAGAGCCCUGGAACUGGGGUUAUGGAUGGUUGAGACCUGCCAUAUGGGUGCUGAAAAUCAAACCCAGGUGCCUGACAGAGCAGCCAGUGUUUUUAACCAUUGAGCCAUCUCUCCAGAUCCCUAACUACCUGCCGUCUCUUUAACUUCACUGUGUUCUAAUACAAAUAUUCUAAGUCAGUUAUAGCUUAUGACUUGUGAUUACAUAUAAACACCUCUGUUUGAUUUCAUCAUUAUACCAUUUAAAGUUAUAUUAUUCUGACUCAUUUUUGUCAGUUCUACAGGUGUGUGACGUCACUCACAAUAAUUUUGUUUGUUUCCUAAAAUAUUUAUUCUUCUGUUCUGGUUGGCCUUUGAAACUAUGUUUGAUUUUAUCCCAUUACUGCUCUUCCUUCGCUUGUUUGGAGCGAGGUUGCUGGCAUGCCUUCCACUCCCGCCGCGUCUUUUCCCUGGUAGUUCUGGAGCACCUCUCUGUUGUCAUGGCUGCUUAACAGUCUUUGGGACCUUGUGUGUGGCCUUAAGAAACAAAUAGUGUGCUUUUUAAAAUAUGGUUUUUAUUUGCAAUUAAUUUUGAAGAGUAAAGUGAUUUUUUAAUAACUUCUAUGUUCACAAAUCACACUUCUUACCUUAAUUUUGUAUUUUAAGUCUGCUAAUACGCAUGUGUGAGUGAAUUCAGGAAGGUACACAUACAUAGAACACAGCCAUCACGUAUUUCCUUUUAAUUCUGGGAAUUUGGUAGCUAUAUAAACUGCUCUCAGCUAUAAAUUAAGUAUUGCAAAACAUUACUUUUGUUUUUUAUUUUACUGUGUGUGGUAUGUGUACAUGUUUUCAUGGGCGUAUGCUCAUGUGCACGUGGGUGCUCAUAUGAGUUUUUGUGCAGAUGGAGGCCAGAAAUCAAUAAUGUCUUUGCUUAAUCACUCGCCACCUAUUUCUUUUUUCUUCUCCAACUUAAAAAAGGCUGUCUUUUCUUUUCUCAUUUUUAUUAGUUCUUUGAUAACAUCAUACAAUAUAUUUUGAUCAGAUUCAUUCUUCUCCCCACUUUCUUCCCCAGCCCAGCCCCCCUCCACUAUCCACCCAGUUCUGUGUCCUCUUUUAUUUCUUUUUAAACCAUCAGGUUUAGUUGUGCUGCUCAUAUACUGUGUGAUAUGGCCUUCCA